AAUCCCCAAAUUGAUGAAGAACAAGAAUACAAAGUAGAGUUUUCUAAACCUGGAGACAGAGUGAGGAUAAUCAAAAAAGGGACUACCAAACGAGAAAAACAUCAAAACAAUGACUGAGUUGUAUCAACUUGAUCCACAAGCUUACAUGAAUGACACCAUCUAUUGCAAAGCAUCAAUUAUGGGAUAUCCAAUCCACAAUGGCUGGUGGUACAAAGGCUGUUCAUCCCCAAAUUGCAAUAAACUGCUGAAGCAUAGACAAGAUGGUGACACCUUUGUUUGCGACCAACAUGGUGUCCAAAAGCCUAUACCAUGUUACCGAGUAACAUGACCAUUGAAGAUGCCACCAAUGAAGCAACUGUUACACUAAUGGGAAAGGAAGCAGAGAAAUUAUUCGGUACCAUCUGUGAACACUUAGUGAACGAAAGACCUCCUGAUGCACAACAAACCCUACCCAAAGAGAUUGAAAAUACCAUUGGUCAGUGCCACCUUUUUGAGAUCAAAUUCAGCAAAUAUGGGCAGCGAACAGUGAAACGUAUCCUCUCAGAUCAUCAAAUUUCAAAAUCUCCAAGAGAGCAAUAACUAAUGACUGCAAUACCACAGAAAACCUCUGAAAGGAAAAGAGGAAUGGAGUCAAGUGCAGAACCAAAGAAAAAAUUGGAAAGGGAAAUCAGCGAACCAACAUCAAGCAAAAACCAAAACCAGAAGCAGAAAAUUACCUGAAAGUGAACCACACUGUAUAUACUACUUUUGUUCAACUCAUCGAAGUUGAAGCAGAGUUAGCGCAGAGUUGACUGCAUUUUUG